GAUGAACGCUAGCGAUAGGCUUAACACAUGCAAGUCGAGGGGCAGCACAAGGUAGCUUGCUAUCUGGGUGGCGACCGGCGCACGGGUGCGUAACGCGUAUGCAACUUGCCCUAUACAGGAGGAUAACCCGUCGAAAGACGGACUAAUACUGCUUAUGCUCACAACUUGGCAUCAAGUGGUGAGGAAAGAAAUUCGGUAUAGGAUAGGCAUGCGUCCCAUUAGCUUGUUGGUGAGGUAACGGCUCACCAAGGCAACGAUGGGUAGGGGAACUGAGAGGUUUAUCCCCCACACUGGUACUGAGACACGGACCAGACUCCUACGGGAGGCAGCAGUGAGGAAUAUUGGUCAAUGGGCGCGAGCCUGAACCAGCCAAGUCGCGUGAAGGAUGACUGUCUUAUGGAUUGUAAACUUCUUUUAUACGGGAAUAACAAGAGUCACGUGUGACUCCCUGCAUGUACCGUAUGAAUAAGCAUCGGCUAACUCCGUG
rnacentral:rRNA from 1 species